GUUAUGAUAUAAAAUUGCUUUGCAUUGCAGAAAUGUGAGGCCCUUUUGGAUUCCACUGUAUUGUCCUUGUACUGUUUGGGGCUGGUCUUUCUUUUUAAAUGGUAGAAUGUAUGAGACACCCAUACUCAUCUUUUCUUCUCUAUUAUUACAAGGUUGUAUCGCAGGCUCUCCACCAUCCCAGCCAAGGUUUGUUCUUUCCUCAUUCAAGCUGCUUUAAGUCUGUUGCUCUGACCUUUUGUAUCUACCUCCCAUCAACUACAGAUUGCUGAGGAGCUCUAUACUAAGGGAGAUCGGACAAAAGAUGCCAUAGACAUGUACACCCAGGCUGGUCGUUGGGAACAAGCCCACAAGCUGGCGAUGAAAUGCAUGAGACCAGAAGAUGUGUCAGUGCUGUACAUCACUCAGGCCCAGGAAAUGGAGAAGCAGGGCAAGUACCGUGAGGCUGAAAGGCUAUAUGUGACAGUACAAGAGCCUGAUCUUGCCAUCACCAUGUACAAAAAGCACAAGUUGUAUGAUGACAUGAUCCGCCUGGU
rnacentral:sRNA from 1 species